AUUGAACGCUGGCGGCAGGCUUAACACAUGCAAGUCGAGCGGGGUGAGGUGCUUCGGUACUGAUCCUAGCGGCGGACGGGUGAGUAAUGCUUAGGAAUCUGCCAUUUAGUGGGGGACAACAUUCCGAAAGGAAUGCUAAUACCGCAUACGUCCUACGGGAGAAAGCAGGGGAUCUUCGGACCUUGCGCUAAAUGAUGAGCCUAAGUCGGAUUAGCUAGUUGGUGGGGUAAAGGCCUACCAAGGCGACGAUCUGUAGCGGGUCUGAGAGGAUGAUCCGCCACACUGGGACUGAGACACGGCCCAGACUCCUACGGGAGGCAGCAGUGGGGAAUAUUGGACAAUGGGCGGAAGCCUGAUCCAGCCAUGCCGCGUGUGUGAAGAAGGCCUUUUGGUUAUAAAGCACUUUAAGCGAGGAGGAGGCUACCUGGAUUAAUACUCUGGGAUAGUGGACGUUACUCGCAGAAUAAGCACCGGCUAACUCUGUGCAGCCGCCGCCGUAA
rnacentral:rRNA from 1 species